rnacentral:rRNA from 1 species
AUGCAGUCGAGCGGUAGCACAGGGGAGCUUGCUCCCUGGGUGACGAGCGGCGGACGGGUGAGUAAUGUCUGGGAAACUGCCUGAUGGAGGGGGAUAACUACUGGAAACGGUAGCUAAUACCGCAUAACGUCGCAAGACCAAAGAGGGGGACCUUCGGGCCUCUUGCCAUCAGAUGUGCCCAGAUGGGAUUAGCUAGUAGGUGGGGUAAUGGCUCACCUAGGCGACGAUCCCUAGCUGGUCUGAGAGGAUGACCAGCCACACUGGAACUGAGACACGGUCCAGACUCCUACGGGAGGCAGCAGUGGGGAAUAUUGCACAAUGGGCGCAAGCCUGAUGCAGCCAUGCCGCGUGUGUGAAGAAGGCCUUCGGGUUGUAAAGCACUUUCAGCGAGGAGGAAGGUGGUGAGCUUAAUACGCUCAUCAAUUGACGUUACUCGCAGAAGAAGCACCGGCUAACUCCGUGCCAGCAGCCGCGGUAAUACGGAGGGUGCAAGCGUUAAUCGGAAUUACUGGGCGUAAAGCGCACGCAGGCGGUUUGUUAAGUCAGAUGUGAAAUCCCCGGGCUCAACCUGGGAACUGCAUUUGAAACUGGCAAGCUAGA